GUAAAACAUUUAUGUAUCUCUUCUUUUCCCCUACUUAUCUCAAGUGCCCCAGAUGACAGCUGAAUGCAUGCCUACAAGACUGCAAAGAGGCAGAAGGUUCUGAAAAUGACAUCCAGGCACCAUGAAAUUACAGUCUUCAGAGCAUAUCAGUCAGCUUCCUCUAUUAGGACUCCAUGGGCAUAUGCCUUCUUGUGUUGAACACUUCUGUUCAAGAAAUUGGAUAGUUUUUUAGUUCACUGGAAAAGAAUCACUCCACUACCCUGUUCUUGAAGUUCUCCGCUGUCAGAUUCCUCAAGUCCAUUGCUACAAGGUGAUGGGCAGUGCUGUGUCAUGAUGAUGAUUCAGAGAAGCAACAC